GACGGGGGGGGCAAGUGUUCUUCGGAAUUACUGGGCGUAAAGCGCGCGUAGGCGGACCUGCAAGUCGGGGGUGAAAGCCCGAGGCUCAACCUCGGAACUGCCUUCGAUACUGCGGGUCUCGAGUCCGGGAGAGGUGAGUGGAAUUCCUAGUGUAGAGGUGAAAUUCGUAGAUAUUAGGAAGAACACCAGUGGCGAAGGCGGCUCACUGGCCCGGUACUGACGCUGAGGCGCGAAAGCGUGGGGAGCAAACAGG
rnacentral:rRNA from 1 species